rnacentral:rRNA from 1 species
AACGAACGCUGGCGGCAGGCCUAACACAUGCAAGUCGAACGCUCGUAGCAAUACGAGAGUGGCAGACGGGUGAGUAACACGUGGGAACCUUCCCUAUGGUUCGGAAUAGCCCAGGGAAACUUGGGGUAAUACCGGAUAAGCCCUUCGGGGAAGGAUUUAUCGCCAUUGGAUGGGCCCGCGUCGGAUUAGCUAGUUGGUGAGGUAACGGCUCACCAAGGCGACGAUCCGUAGCUGGUCUGAGAGGAUGAUCAGCCACACUGGGACUGAGACACGGCCCAGACUCCUACGGGAGGCAGCAGUGGGGAAUAUUGGACAAUGGGCGCAAGCCUGAUCCAGCCAUGCCGCGUGAGUGACGAAGGCCUUAGGGUUGUAAAGCUCUUUUGGCGGGGAAGAUAAUGACGGUACCCGCAGAAUAAGCUCCGGCUAACUUCGUGCCAGCCGCCGCCGU